rnacentral:rRNA from 1 species
GACGAACGCUGGCGGCGUGCUUAACACAUGCAAGUCGAACGGAAAGGCCCUGCUUUUGUGGGGUGCUCGAGUGGCGAACGGGUGAGUAACACGUGAGUAACCUGCCCUUGACUUUGGGAUAACUUCAGGAAACUGGGGCUAAUACCGGAUAGGAGCUCCUGCUGCAUGGUGGGGGUUGGAAAGUUUCGGCGGUUGGGGAUGGACUCGCGGCUUAUCAGCUUGUUGGUGGGGUAGUGGCUUACCAAGGCUUUGACGGGUAGCCGGCCUGAGAGGGUGACCGGCCACAUUGGGACUGAGAUACGGCCCAGACUCUUACGGGAGGCAGCAGUGGGGAAUAUUGCAUAAUGGGCGGAAGCCUGAUGCAGCAACGCCGCGUGCGGGAUGACGGCCUUCGGGUUGUAAACCGCUUUCGCCUGUGACGAAGCGUGAGUGACGGUAAUGGGUAAAGAAGCACCGGCUAACUACGUG